CCUACGGGUGGCAGCAGUGGGGAAUAUUGCACAAUGGGGGGAACCCUGAUGCAGCAACGCCGCGUGGGUGAAGAAGUACUCCGGUAUGUAAAGCCCUGUCAGCAGGGAAGAAAAUGACGGUACCUGACCAAGAAGCCCCGGCUAACUACGUGCCAGCAGCCGCGGUAAUACGUAGGGGGCAAGCGUUAUCCGGAUUUACUGGGUGAAAAGGGAGCGUAGACGGCAAGGCAAGUCUGGAGUGAAAGCCCGGGGCCCAACCACGGGACUGCUUUGGAAACUGUGUUGCUGGAGUGCAGGAGGGGUAAGCGGAAUUCCGGGUGUAGCGGUGAAAGGCGUAGAUAUUAGGAGGAAUACCGGUGGCGAGGGCGGCUUACUGGACUGUAACUGACGUUGAGGCUCGAAGGCGUGGGGAGCAAACAGGAUUAGAUACCCAGUAGUC
rnacentral:rRNA from 1 species